GCAGCCGGGGUGUUAGCGGUACCUUGUACCCACAAUCCGCUAUAGUGGGGGUGAAGUUACACGGAGGGCGUAUGUUUGCGGAGCUGCCCUUGAUAAGUGGCGUUGAAGUCCGGGUCUUACGCGACGGGAAUCUAUGAACCAUGUCAGGGCGGGAACGCAGCAGCAUUAAGUAGAACCUUCCGGGUGCCGUGAGGGUGCCUGGGCGGAGCAGGCUGUCAAGGUAACGUCCGGGG
rnacentral:SRP_RNA from 1 species